CCAGCCGCGGUCACGCUACGUCCCUUUCUACCCCUCUCCCCACCCUUACCCGGGGCCCCGGGCCCCUGGGUGACAGGAAAAGGAAUGAGGAGCAGGAGCUGUGAGGGGACUGAGACCGCGUCAGGGAGAGGGGCCGGAAGGACACAGUCACGGUCCAGACAGGAGGCGGCUGGCGCCAGGGGCAAGGCAGCAGCCGACCGGAGAAGCGGUGAAAGAGCUGGAUGUAUGACUAAUUUGAGAUGAGUCACUACAGUUCCUGCAUCCGAGGCUCCGGACUGCCAGAGGUUCUCUUGCAACCCCUCCAAGCCGACCCAGGUCUCUGGGAGGCCAGGACCAUCACUCUGUCCUUUCACUCUUCUCCAGGUGGAUUUUGGUCUGUGCCUCAGCUAACAUAAGAGUUGUCAUCUGACUUCCUUGGGGAGACAGUAAGCAAAUUCAAUGCAACACAAUUAACACCAAAGAACCAGCUGGACUGAGCAAUAAGCUCCACAGAAAGCUGUCUCAUGUGAGUCAUAUUUCUUUUGGGUUACAUUUAAUGCUAAAUUGUCAAUAGGACUUGACAGCUUUCCUAGAUUCAUCUUGUUUCAAUUAAUGCUAAAAUUAUUAUCUUUUUGAUGCUUAAAUUAUAGCUGCUUGUCAGUGGAAGCCCCUUUAAAUUGGCCCCUUGGUCCUUUCAGCAUUGCCCUGGCAAUUUGAGAGCAUCCUUGUUUCCUGGUAGAAACUCACACUUCGGGUCUAUCUAUAAUUUUUCCUGGAUGCAGGAGAAUGUUCAGGGAGAUUGAAUUUUAGUGAAGAGUAAAAGAAAAGAACCAAAUCUGGGUGUCAGGACAGUGCAUGGGGCCAAAAGUCCCUGGCUCCCCCACUUCUGAGGUACCCUAGGGAAAUCCUUUAAAGGAUGUAAGCUUACACUGAGAGCUCUAUUUAAUUGUAGCUUUGCUAGAUCUUUACUUUUUUUUUUUCAAAUAAACCUCAACAUUAUUACUCUAUAAAAUUAUUUAC